UAACACAUGCAAGUCGAGGGGCAGCAUGGUCUUAGCUUGCUAAGGCCGAUGGCGACCGGCGCACGGGUGAGUAACGCGUAUCCAACCUGCCUUACACUCUUGGACAGCCUUCUGAAAGGGAGAUUAAUACAAGAUGUUAUCAUGAGUAAGCAUUUUCGCAUGAUUAAAGGUUUACCGGUGUAAGAUGGGGAUGCGUUCCAUUAGAUAGUAGGCGGGGUAACGGCCCACCUAGUCUUCGAUGGAUAGGGGUUCUGAGAGGAAGGUCCCCCACAUUGGGACUGAGACGCGGUCCAAACUCCUACGGGAGGCAGCAGUGAGGAAUAUUGGUCAAUGGACGAGAGUCUGAACCAGCCAAGUAGCGUGAAGGAUGAAGGUUCUAUGGAUUGUAAACUUCUUUUAUACGGGAAUAAACGAAUCCACGUGUGGAUUUUUGCAUGUACCGUAUGAAUAAGGAUCGGCUAACUCCGUGCCAGCAGCCGCGGUAAUACGGAGGAUCCGAGCGUUAUCCGGAUUUAUUGGGUUUAAAGGGAGCGUAGAUGGGUUGUUAAGUCAGUUGUGAAAGUUUGCGGCUCAACCGUAAAAUUGCAAUUGAUACUGGCAGUCUUGAGUACAGUUGAGGUAGGCGGAAUUCGUGGUGUAGCGGUGAAAUGCUUAGAUAUCACGAAGAACUCCGAUUGCGAAGGCAGCUUACUAACC
rnacentral:rRNA from 1 species